UAGUAGGUGAAUUUUAGGAAUCUUUUUAUUGCUUUCAUUUGAAGUGGAAAUUUACAUCAACGUGAUGUUCUACAACUUGGCGACAAUAUUUAGUUACAACUUGAACCUGUUCAUAUUUUACUACGAGCACAUGAUAGUUUUACGAACUGUAUACACAUCAUAUUUCAAUACAGUAACAAGUAAUAGCACCAACGAUCCAAAAACUGUUAUUCGAAUUUUUACCAAGCCUUAUAAAAUAUCUAACGAUAUUAACAAAACGUUUCAAAUUCCUAUUCUUUUACGAAUUUUCACCGACUUUGUUCUAACCAUAACCAUAGUGUUUUUUUACUUGUCAGUGGCACUGUGUUUUUUUCCUGGAAUAACUUUUAACUUACUAUGUGGUGUUGGAAAUAAUUGUCUGGUUAACAAAAAUCUUAUUUGCCAUUUUUAUCAUGGCGAAUUUUUUCGACCAAACUACCGAAAUGGUAAGCAAUAAAAACAUUACAAUAAUUAAUUGCCUUGAUCUUAUAGAAAAAUACAAUGACUGAAAUAAUCGACGAUUUACCAUCGUCACACUCACUGAGUAAAAUGCUUUCCAAUUAUAAAAAAGUCGUACAGAAAUUGGUUAACACAUAAAAUUUUACAAUUUCAUUUCAGAAAGAAUUGCUUCGCUUAAAACUAAAACACGAAGAUGUCUGUUUCAAUGUUUGUGGCUUCUUCCCUUUAAAUAAUUCUUUUAUUUAUAUGGUGGUAUCUGGUAUCACAACAUACACGAUUUAUUUAGUACAGUUUGGGCCAAUCAAUAAUCCAAAAUUUAAUCCAGUGCAAAAUACACAAAUUAAUUAAUAUUUUAACAAACCGAAGUAAUUAUGAAAUUUCGUUCAAACAAAUGUUCUUUUAUAACUUUGUUUCUGUAUGUAGGACAUAGUUAAUACAGUUGAUGGUGUUUAUUACUUUAAUUUAAUUAUCUUUUAUUACUUGAUAGUUGUCUCUUGUUGCAUUAAAUGAUUAGCAGUACAAUAUAAAUUCAACUGAAAAGACUUGUAUUCAAAAGCUUAUAGCUUUGAACACUUGCAAAACCAGUGCGAGAUGAACAUAACCGAAACCGCUAUACUGAUAUGUAAAAUUUGGGGUUUUACUGGUUUACCACAGUUUAAAUUCGAAAAUGGAAAAUUUGAAUAUAAGAAAUCAAAAUCAUCGAUAAUUUUAAUUUUUAUUGUAAUACUAAGCAUUGUGUUUUUUAUUAAGUCCUUACACACGACAAAGGACUUAUUAUUUUAUUUAACUAUUUUACAAACAGGUUCAUUAUAUUUAUUAGUCACUGGUUUGGGGAUUCAUUCAUAUUUAAAAAAAAGACAAAUUGCAAUAAUUCUAAACGAUUUGAUAAUGGUAACAAAAAUGGUGUGUCAAUUCUCUAGAAAUAAUGAUCUCCUUCGGAACAGCGUUUCGAAGCCAUUGUUUUGGUAUUUAAUUGUACAAGUGGCCAUAACUGGAAACAAGAUUUUGGGAGCUGUUUUAACAAUCUCACCUGACGCUGAAGUUUACCUAAACGUUCUCUUCUACAACUUUGCGGAAUUGUUUAGUUACAAUAUAAACAUACUCAUAUUUUUCUACUUGAUAAUUUUUCAAAAUGCAUACACAUCAUAUUUUAAAGCAAUAACACGUAAAAACACCUACAACGAUCCGAAAAUUGUUGUUCAAAUUUUUUACAAAUUUUACGAGAUUUCCAACAAUAUUAACGAAACCCUCCAAGUGCCUAUUCUUUUGAGAAUUUUCACCGACUUUGUUUUUACUAUAUCUUCAAUGUUUUACUUAUCGGUUUUUUUGUAUAUUAUACCCGAAUUAUCUUUCUUUGUUCUGGCAAAAAUGGUUCUUUGGUUAGUAAAUACCUUAUUCGCCAUUUUUAUCAUGGCGUAUUUUUUCGACCAAAUGACAGAAAAGGUAAGUUUCAAAAAAUUACAAUUAAUAUUACUUAAAAUUACAGAGAAAUACAAUAAUGGAAACGCUUGAGGACUUACCAUCGUCACACACUCUUAUCAGUAAAUUUCAUUCCUCUUACAAAAGAAAAGAACUACUUCGGUUAAGACUAAAACACGAACGGUUCUGUUUUAAUGUAUGUGGUUUUUUUCCUUUGAAUAAUUCUUUCAUCUACUUGAUGAUAGCUGGAAUCGUAACGUACACGACUUAUCUAGUGCAGUUCGGAAAAGCCGCAAAUGCAAAACAAUAGAAAUGUAGUAAUUGUACAGUAAACAGAUCUGAAAAUGUCUCCAUAAAACAAACCCCUGCUAUUAGUGUCGUCCUUCUGAACGCAACCAUUGCCAGCAAUAAAUCAUUAUCGCUUCGUAAACUUGAAAAUACCCUCAGAGAAAUUUGGCGAGUUUUGUAAUCACAAAUAUUUGAUUGCAAUUUUAUGUAAUUAAUAAAUUAGUGUAAAUAAAGUAAAAUUAUUUAAUAAUGGCCCGAAUUCUUAUCUCAUCAUUAAGGAUGUGAUUAGCUAAAUACGCUAUUAAACUAAACAUAAAACGAUAUAGAUUUAUGUAAAUCUAAUGUUGUAGAAAGAGAUGCAAACGUUGCCAUGGAAGUUAGAGACGUUAUUAAAUUUAAUAAUGGGAUAAGAAUUCGGGCCAAUGUGUUUAAAUUCUUCUG